rnacentral:snRNA from 1 species
GCACUUACCUGGACGGGGUCGAUGGGUGAUCAAGAAGAUCCCUGGCCUAGAUUAAUGGCCUACAUUGCACUUGGUAGGUGCGUUGAUCUACCAUCUUCCCAAGUGGGAGAGUGGACGUCAUAAUUUGUGGUGGAGGGGGUACGCGUUCGCGCGGCCCCUG